rnacentral:rRNA from 1 species
UACAGAGGGUGCAAGCGUUGUUCGGAAUUAUUGGGCGUAAAGAGCGUGUAGGCGGCUAGGUAGGUCCGUUGUGAAAACUCGAGGCUCAACCUCGAGACGUCGAUGGAAACCAUCUAGCUAGAGUCCGGAAGAGGGUCUCGGAAUUCCCGGUGUAGAGGUGAAAUGCGUAGAUAUCAGGAGGAACACCGGUGGCGAAGGCGGGUCUCUGGGCCGAUACUGACGCUGAGGAGCGAAAGCGUGGGGAGCGAACAGG